GCAUCCAACGCGUUGGGAGCUCUCCCAUAUGGUCGACCUGCAGGCGGCCGCGAAUUCACUAGUGAUUCGUAUUACCGCGGCUGCUGGCACGAAGUUAGCCGGGACUUCUUCUGCGGGUACCGUCAUUAUCUUCCCCGCUGAAAGAGCUUUACAACCCUAAGGCCUUCUUCACUCACGCGGCAUGGCUGGAUCAGGCUUUCGCCCAUUGUCCAAUAUUCCCCACUGCUGCCUCCCGUAGGAGUUUGGGCCGUGUCUCAGUCCCAAUGUGGCUGAUCAUCCUCUCAGACCAGCUACUGAUCGUCGCCUUGGUGAGCCGUUACCUCACCAACUAGCUAAUCAGACGCGGGCCGAUCUUUCGGCGAUAAAUCUUUCCCCGUAAGGGCUUAUCCGGUAUUAGCUGAAGUUUCCCUCAGUUGUUCCGAAGAUCUGGGUAGAUUCCCACGCGUUACUCACCCGUCUGCCACUCCCCUUGCGGGGCGUUCGACUUGCAUGUGUUAAGCCUGCCGCCAGCGUUCGUUCUGAGCCAUGAUCAAACUCUAAUCGAAUUCCCGCGGCCGCCAUGGCGGCCGGGAGCAUGCGACGUCG
rnacentral:rRNA from 1 species